rnacentral:rRNA from 1 species
GAGUUUGAUCGUGGCUCAGGAUGAACGCUGGCGGCGUGCCUAAUACAUGCAAGUCGAGCGAACGGACGAGAAGCUUGCUUCUCUGAUGUUAGCGGCGGACGGGUGAGUAACACGUGGAUAACCUACCUAUAAGACUGGGAUAACUUCGGGAAACGGGAGCUAAUACCGGAUAAUAUUUUGAACCGCAUGGUUCAAAAGUGAAAGACGGUCUUGCUGUCACUUAUAGAUGGAUCCGCGCUGCAUUAGCUAGUUGGUAAGGUAACGGCUUACCAAGGCAACGAUGCAUAGCCGACCUGAGAGGGUGAUCGGCCACACUGGAACUGAGACACGGUCCAGACUCCUACGGGAGGCAGCAGUAGGGAAUCUUCCGCAAUGGGCGAAAGCCUGACGGAGCAACGCCGCGUGAGUGAUGAAGGUCUUCGGAUCGUAAAACUCUGUUAUUAGGGAAGAACAUAUGUGUAAGUAACUGUGCACAUCUUGACGGUACCUAAUCAGAAAGCCACGGCUAACUACGU